rnacentral:lncRNA from 10 species
GUUAUUUUAACAUCGAGUUCUGGCAUGAACAGCAUUCUACAGAUCUUUGCCUAGUCAUUGUUUUAUAAGUUCCUUUAAAACAGGUUUUUGUUAAUGUUUAUGAAUUCAUUCAUUACAUUAUACACAAAGUGGUGUAGCUUUAUGUCAAAGCAAUCCCUCUCUCUCUAUUUCCGGAUGAGGACAACUUCACUUAUCUGCUACGAUGGACGUCAGAAUCAUUCCAAGAACUCAGAGAGCUCGUGCCCCACGGCGGGACGUUUGCAUGUUUCCAGGGAAAAUGCCUCCUUCUUCUACUUCCUCCCUCACCCCAUGCACACACACAGUGACCCACACAGUCACACACACACAGAGACACAGGUACCCACACAGAGUCUCACACAGACACACACCUACACAUACAGGCACAAAUAUACACAGAUACACAUAUGGCCAUGCACAUGUAUACAGACACAUGCACAC